CCUGUUUAACAAAAACAUGUCUUUUUGAGUUAUUUUUAAAGUCUGACCUGCCCACUGAGUUUUUGAAUGGCCGCAGUAUUCUAACUGUGCAAAGGUAGCAUAAUCAUUAGUCUUUUAAUUGAAGGCUGGUAUGAACGGUUGGACGAGGUAUAUACUGUUUCAUAUAAAUUUACAUUAGAAUUUUAUAUUUUAGUUAAAAAGCUAAAAUGGUGUUAAAAGACGAGAAGACCCUAUAAAUCUUUAUAUUUAAUUGAAUUUAAAUUUUUUGGAUUUGUUUUGUUUUUAUUUUAUGGAAUAUUUUGUUGGGGUGAUGUUAAAAUUUGAUGAACUUUUAAUUAUUUAAAAUCAUUUAUUUAUGAAUUAUUGAUCCAUUAUUAGUGAUUAUAAGUUUAAGUUACUUUAGGGAUAACAGCGUAAUUUUUUUGGAGAGUUCAUAUCGAUAAAAAAGUUUGCGACCUCGAUGUUGGAUUAAGAUAUAUUUAGGUGUAGCUGCUUAAAU
rnacentral:rRNA from 1 species